rnacentral:rRNA from 1 species
AGUUUGAUCCUGGCUCAGAAUGAACGUUGGCGGCGUGGAUUAGGCAUGCAAGUCGAACGGGCCUGGCUUCGGCCGGGUCAGUGGCGGAAGGGUGAGUAAGGCGACGGCAACCAGCCCCAUGGUUGGGCAUAGCCGCGGGAAACUGCGGGUAAUACCCAGCGACGUAAGCUGCCGGCAUCGGUGGUUUACCAAAGCUCCGGCGCCGUGGGACGGGCCGUCGUGGUAUUAGGUUGUUGGCGGGGUAACGGCCCACCAAGCCGAUGAUGCCUACCGGGCGUGCGAGCGUGGCCCGGCACACUGGGACUGAGACACUGCCCAGACUCCUACGGGAGGCUGCAGUCGAGAAUCUUCGGCAAUGGGCGCAAGCCUGACCGAGCGACGCCGCGUGGAGGAUGAAGGCCUUCGGGUUGUAAACUCCUGUCGAGGGGGGAGAAGCCUUCGGGUUGACCGAUCCCUGGAGGAAGCACGGGCUAAGUUCGUGCCAGCAGCCGCGGUAAGACGAACCGUGCGAACGUUAUUCGGAAUCACUGGGCUUAAAGCGCGUGUAGGCGGAUGGGAACGUCGGUACUUGAAAGCCCCCGGCUCAACCGGGGAAGUGGGGCCGAAACGACCCGUCUGGAGGGACGUAGGGGGACCUGGAACUUCCGGUGGAGCGGUGAAAUGCGUUGAGAUCGGAAGGAACGCCCGUGGCGAAAGCGAGGUCCUGGACGUUUACUGACGCUGAGACGCGAAAGCUAGGGGAGCAAACGGGAUUAGAUACCCCGGUAGUCCUAGCCGUAAACGAUGGGCACUGGGUAGGGGGCUCGCCGAUGGGCUCUCUGCCGCAGGAAACCGUGAAGUGCCCCGCCUGGGGAGUAUGGUCGCAAGGCUGAAACUCAAAGGAAUUGA